ensembl:lncRNA
GAAAUAUUUUGGAAAAAAAAAAAAAAAAAAAAAAAGAUUUCGAUCAAACUCACUUCAGAAAAGUUUGUCUGCUUUCUUUUUAAGCACAACAAAGCAAUGACUAGCAAAUUUUACUUUUAUAUAAAUCAAAUCUAUAGUAAUUUGCUAGUCCUCCAUAACUAAGAGAAGAAUUAAAAAACACUGUGUUCCCACAGUAAUAUUGAAACAAUGAUUCAAUCCAACUAAAGUUCUAGGGCUAUUUUAUCAGAUUAACUGGUUGCUUUCUGUGAAGUUAUCUGUGCUGUGAGGAGGCAUGAGAGAGAAAAAGAAAGAAAGCAACCAACAAUAAAAAGUGGGAACUUCCAAAAGUGGUAUCAGAUAUAGAAGUUAUCCUCGUGUCCUCCAGAGAGUGGGUUACUUAAAAUUGCAGUGCAGCUGCUUACGCAUUCAAAAGAACUGAGUCUGCUACCAUCUGGGUUAUUCACAACCUAUGUAAUAAACAUAUAUAUGUAUGUAUAUGUAUAAAUGUACAUAUAUAUUUAUGAUAUGCUGUCUUUGUCUAACUGUUAUUUCUGCUGCCUUUGACCAAAUCUUUACAAGUGGUGGCAUGGUGCAUGCUGAAAGACUUUUACAGAAUAUCUGGAAAAUACUGGAUUCUUCCUGCCUAAGUGCAUGGACCAUUAUGAGAGCAGGUUAAGUGGGCGUGAGUUGUUCUAGGCAGCAACCAAGAAAUAUCUCAAGUAAAUGCCACAGUUCUAAAUAAGUUGUUUUAAUGGUUAACAGUAAAAUACAUUUUAAUAGUCUGAACUUUUAGACACUUUAGCUUCCAGCAAUUUUUUAUGCUCGUCUGAAACAUUAAAGGACCUUCUAUUAUAGGUGUUUUCCUACUGCUAUAGGCAAUUUUAGACUAUGAUCAAGCAUUGUUUAAUUUUGAAGGACUUAAAACAACAGCAGUUGAAGUCUUUCUAUGUGAAGAGAGAUUUCUAAAUCUUAUGUCAUUUUGUUGUCUUGAUAUUCUAGUUUUAUUUCCUUCCUCAUUAAAAAAAAAAAAAAUUGAAUAUAUUCAUAACAUAGCCAAAUAACUAACGUAAAAAUCUGCUUUCAAAAAACCCAUUUAAUGGAUGGCAUAAAAGCUUCUCAAAUCUCAAUUCUAAUGAGUAAAUUCAAACAUAUAACAUGACUUCUCUGUAUCAUUAUGUAUAGUCAUCUUUUUUUUCCUUCCUGGAACUAUGUUCUUAAAAACUGAAUAUCUGACUAUAUCUAAUUUUCCAAGCAAAACAUUUUGCAUAAGUAAUCAAAAUUAUCAACAUUUGCUAUUAUAAUUAUUGAUCUUAAGAUAAAAUAUAUUUUUUGAUGAUAAAAAAGGGAUUGUCUUAUUUCUAUAAAAAACAAAGAACUUGACUUUUCCUCCAAAUCACAUAUCACCCCUGAUACAUUCAAACUAACCCCACUGGAAUUAACUGCAGGAUCUGAUCUGAAAAAGACAUCCCAUUAAACAAUUUUUAUUUAAGUUAUACUCUGAAGUUCACAUAUUAUUCUAUUCAGUAUAAAUAGAACUAAUAGUGAAGUAUUCUGCAAAAGUCUAAAACCUGUAACAAGUAUUCUGAACAAAUUGUAAAUGUUUUAAAAGUAAUAGAAUAUAUGUUAUUUUAUUAAAAAAAAGUACUUGUGUUGAUUUUUUAAUUGCAUUCAAUCUAUGAUAUGUAGUAGGAAUUGAAUAACUAGGUAUGUGCAAUUCUCAUCAAUAUUCCAGUGCCUUAUUUAGCACCUCUUUAAAACAUUUUUGUGCUUUCUUGUUUACCCCAAACCUUCUGAAAUAUUAAUUGCAAUUUUUUGUUUGUUUGUUUGUUUUCGGAUAUAUUUAUUGAAUGUCCUAAUGCUGUCAGCACAUCGGCAUUCUUCUCCCUUAUAAGGCUGUCCUUCUUCAUUCAGUUAACGGCAGUGCUGUUGAUGUAAUAGCCCAUGAAAGGUGGCUGAACAUAAUUGCAUGCAGUGGUGUGCUUCUCCUGACCUCUUCAGCUAAAAGCCCAUUAUGAAAAGUACAAGGGCUAAACAGCUCUGACACCUAAAGUACCAACUUAAAUAGUUCCAGAGGAAAACAGCUUUACACAGAAUAGUUUCCUACCAAUGGAUGGUUUCAGUUCCUAAGUGAAAUCAGAGCAGAGGCAAAGGAUGAAGAGGGCAUCUUGAUCAUGAGAGCACAGAGGAGAUGUACUAAGUACACUAUAGAAAAUUCACUACGUAAGUUCUACUGUUUACAAAGCAAUCUGACUGAAAUCCGACUUAGCCAGGACCUGAUGUUUUGUACUAUGCAAUUCCUCUUUAUUCAGCGUAGGCUCAUUGUAAGAGACUAUUCUUUUAUAUCAUUGACUCAAAGUUUGCUGAGGAACAAGUCCAGGCAAGUCCUGGGCAAAGGUAGAGAAAUCUUUUAUCUUGAGGACACUGAUGGACAGGUCCUGGCUAAGGAUUGUGAAAUCCUCUAAGGAGCACAGAUGGACAAGGCCAGGGGCAACGAGAGAGAGAUAAGCUGCUGCUAAUGGCCGGGAAACGGUCUUUUUGUGUGGACUUAUCUCGAGGAAGAUGGCCAUCUCAGGAGAUCCCUCACCACGACAGACUCGAGGUUUGUGCCAUCAGAUCCCUCACUACGGACCGUAUGCUGACGGACUUCCCUGGGCCUGCUACCUGAGACCUGCUGCUUCCUCCCAGACUUACUCUGCGGCUUCUUCCUGGACCCACCCGGUACCUGCACCCUCUCGUUGCCCAAGACCGGCCUCGCUGCUCCUGCCCUUCGGCCUCCGACCAUCGGAACGUCGUGCAACGGGACUACUGCCGGAUCCUGGUGGUGACUAUCCCCGCUUUACGCAAUUCUUGCUUCUUUCUAUCUUUUCCUAUCGCUCGCCUUCCCUUCCCCAUCACCCCAAUCCGUAAUAGUGUCCGUCCUCCCCUUUCUUCAUCUCCCUUAUUAACAUUUGUAAUAAACUGGUCGGACCAACAUUUUAACCGUUGUUUCUUAAUCUCACGCCGGGCAUACAUAUUUCAAAGAACCUCCUCUCCCUCCUAUAAAUUGGAGCGGGACACUCAUAUAAAGAAAAAGUGAAGUAACGUAUAUUGUUUUCCCUUAAUAUCUGAUUUUUUUUUUUAAUGCUGCUUAUGAAGAAACAAAAUUCAACACUAUAGGAGAUUUUUUUUUUUCAUUUAUUCCCUUAGAAAGAGGGAAAAAAUGAUUCUUACAUAGAUAGUAAUUGUCCAAAGUUGCAAAAUAUCUAGCUACAGAACCAGUUAAAAAUGCUCCAAAAAGUAGUAUUCCCAAAUUCAAGAGAGCAUGGGGCCUAUUUUACUGUUUAAAGCAAUCCUAUAAACCACUCUAAGUUUGCAUCAUUAAGGUAUUGACAAAUGACAAAGAUGAUACAUGACCUGGAAAAUUCUUUAAGUAUCCAGAAAGAGAGAAGUUACAC